GCGACUCAACACAUAAACUUAACUCAAAUAAGACUAAUAAUCGUCCACAGCUUCGAACUGAGUCUUCGAACCUGUGUCACUGAAAGGGUGGAAGAUUUUGGGGUGAGAACAAACCACGCGUUCUCAGUAGGGAAUGGGAAUGCCGUAAGAGUAAUGAAAUAAAUUGCAAAUAAUUAACUUUACUCAAUAAAACUAUAUUUUUAUCAAACCUUUUGAAAAUACUUUUUACUAUUACUUUAUAUAAUUAAUUACCUUCUUUAAAUUCCGAACUCAAGACAAAUCUCAAUCACAACCUCAGUUCUUAGUCACCUUAAUACACAAACUAAUAGCACAAGAAACAGAUCAACACACAAACAAAUAGCAAUAAGACAAAUAGCACAAUCACAGAGAGACAAGAUAAGCAAACACAAUCAAAUGCAAAUGUGCAAACAAUGAUGAUGCAUGUCUAGUCCUAUCGCAGGUAAUGAGCUCAUUUGUCGGUUUCGACCCGCACCCGACGCAAUCCGACUCGCAAGUCAGAUAAGGCAUUCCAGCGGNNNNNNNNNNNNNNNNNNNNNNNNNNNNNAUGCCGAACAUGACCUCUGCAAGUACUUGCAGGCGCUGAUUCUCCAGCUGAAGCAUGUGCCACUUUCUCCUGGAAGCCAUUUCAUACACACGGGCGUCCCCGCACAAUUAUUCACAUAUAAAGCCCACAGCUUAACAUUAUCCCAUUGGAACCAAAACCAUUUACUUUCCGUCACCCUCUCGUGACCUUUUAAACAUUUCAUAAUUACACGUGCCAUGUUCUUUUCUCAUUCUUUCUUUUUCUUAACAAACCAAAUUCAUAUCAUAACUUAAAACAAAAUCUCUUCUCAAAAGAGUGAAUUUAAAAGAUUAUAAUUUUCUUAAUAAAUCGGAUUGAACAUAACUCUUUCCGUAAUAAUUCAAAAAUC
rnacentral:lncRNA from 1 species